rnacentral:rRNA from 1 species
AUACGUAGGUGGCAAGCGUUGUCCGGAUUUACUGGGUGUAAAGGGCGUGUAGGCGGGCUGUCAAGUCAGAUGUGGAAUCUAUGGGCUUAACCCAUAACGUGCAUUUGAAACUGACGGUCUUGAGUGAUGGAGAGGCAGGCGGAAUUCCUAGUGUAGCGGUGAAAUGCGUAGAUAUUAGGAGGAACACCAGUGGCGAAGGCGGCCUGCUGGACAUUAACUGACGCUGAGGCGCGAAAGCGUGGGGAGC